CAACAUGGAUCUCUCAAAUGUGAGCACCAAGACUGAAAACCACUAAGGAUAAUGAGAAGCUGUCUUUGUGCACACAUUUUGGUCUCCUCCCAUCCAUGCUGGAAAUAGCCACUUCAAUAUCAUCAGAAGGUAUAAUGCUGGGAGACACUCUCUGGCCUCAUGGAGUUCCCUGUCCAGUUGGAUGGACACAAAGGCAAGAAGACACAGGGAGCGUGACAGCAGCUAUGAGAGGUGCUGGAGCCUGCGGCUGGGGUGGGCGCGGUGCC
rnacentral:lncRNA from 1 species